UUAUUGAGAGUUUGAUCCUAGCUCAGGGUGAACGCUGGCGGCGUGCCUAAGGCAUGCAAGUCGAACGAAUUUAUUUUCAGUAGCAAUACUGAAAACUGAUUAGUGGCAAACGGGUGCGUAACACAUUGGUAACCUGCCCGUGAGAUGGGUAUAACCCCGCGAAAGCGGGGCUAAUCCCCAAUGGAGAUGCGGGGAUGCAAAUCAUUCGCAUCUAAACGGAGGACAGAUGACAGAGGACAGAUGACGGACUACCAACAUUCCGUCUUCCGUUUUCCGUUUUCUGUCUUCCGCUCACGGAGGGGCCUAUGGUCUAUCAGCUAGUUGGUGGGGUAACGGCCUACCAAGGCUACGACGGAUAGCGGGUUUGAGAGAACGGCCCGCCUCAGUGGAACUGCGACACUGUCCACACUCCUACGGGAGGCUGCAGUCA
rnacentral:rRNA from 1 species